GGAUUGUGGCUCAGUGGCAGAGCACUCGCCUGGAACACAUGAGGCACUGGGUUCAGUCCUCAGCACCA
rnacentral:tRNA from 1 species